CGCACAUAAGGUGUGACCUUUUCAUUCCCGUUGUUAUGGAGGGCCACAUCUGCCAGAGCCUGGAGUCUGCGAAGGCCGGGACCCGGUUCCCCGGCCCACCGUGGGGGGGGGUGUUGCAAAUUCGUGAAGAAUCAGCAUCAUGUUUGGCAGCUGAGUAUUGGAGCCAGGAGCCUGCCAUGAGGUUUUGAGAACAGAGUGCUGUUUUAGAGCUGGCAGCAGCAUCUCAGCCCAAGAGAAGGUUAUAUUCCCAGAGGAUGUCAGUCCCAAGGACCAGUAGCUGCCAUCAGUUUGGAUUCUGAAAACUAACCGGCAUCAACACUGGGUGUAGAAACAUGCUUGCCUUAUGUAUCAGAGGACAUGCUCAGCAGAUCCAAGAGAUAUAUUUGGCAACUUUUUCUAGAAAAGGCACAUUGGGUAUCAUUCAUUACAUUCUUGAGUUUUUUUGGUUUUUUUUUUUUUUUUUUUUUGAGACAGUCUUGCUGUAUUGCCCAGGCUGGAGUGUGGUGGCACAAUCACAGCUCAUUGCAUCCUCAAUCACCCAGGCCUAAGCAAUCCUCCCACCUUGUAGCUGGGACUAUAGCUCACAGCACACCUGGCUAAAAUUUUUUUUUUGUUAAGACGGAUUCUCUAUGUUGCCCAGGCUGGUCUCAGGCUCCUGGGCUCAGAUGGUCCUCCUGCCUCAGCUUCCAAAGGCACAGGCCAAGUUGUAGCUUUGUCCCUUGCCAUCAUGCCCAACAAGAGGUUCUAUACCUUUUAAUGAAUUGACUUUCAUAAAUUGGUUAUGUUGGUGGGCAAGUUCUUUAAGCUGGAAAUUGUAAAUUCCUCCUGAAAUGUUUUUUCAUGCAGUUACCAUGAACUAAUACUACAAUAAAGGAUGGUCUUGGG
rnacentral:antisense_RNA from 1 species